rnacentral:sRNA from 1 species
CAGCGGAGGGAUCAUUACCGAGUUUACAACUCCCAAACCCCUGUGAACAUACCACUUGUUGCCUCGGCGGAUCAGCCCGCUCCCGGUAAAACGGGACGGCCCGCCAGAGGACCCCUAAACUCUGUUUCUAUAUGUAACUUCUGAGUAAAACCAUAAAUAAAUCAAAACUUUCAACAACGGAUCUCUUGGUUCUGGCAUCGAUGAAGAACGCAGCAAAAUGCGAUAAGUAAUGUGAAUUGCAGAAUUCAGUGAAUCAUCGAAUCUUUGAACGCACAUUGCGCCCGCCAGUAUUCUGGCGGGCAUGCCUGUUCGAGCGUCAUUUCAACCCUCAAGCACAGCUUGGUGUUGGGACUCGCGUUAAUUCGCGUUCCCCAAAUUGAUUGGCGGUCACGUCGAGCUUCCAUAGCGUAGUAGUAAAACCCUCGUUACUGGUAAUCGUCGCGGCCACGCCGUUAAACCCCAACUUCUGAAUGUUGACCUCGGAUCAGGUAGGAAUACCCGCUGAACUUAAGCAUAUCAAUAAGCGGAGGAAAAGAAACCAACAGGGAUUGCCCUAGUAACGGCGAGUGAAGCGGCAACAGCUCAAAUUUGAAAUCUGGCUCUCGGGCCCGAGUUGUAAUUUGUAGAGGAUACUUUUGAUGCGGUGCCUUCCGAGUUCCCUGGAACG